UACAUUUCAAUAAAUAAAUGAGAAACCACAAUAAGUCCAUAGGUUUAUUGUGCUUGCAUACCACUUCAUCUUCUAACUUACAAAGAAGCUAAGUUAAAAGGAAGAGAGUUUCAGUAAACCAUCAAAUCCAACAAAGCAAACUAAUUGCUAUAUGUCAAUAUCUCAACUUCCCAAUUUCAAUUUGUAAGUAAUAAACACCCAACCAAAA
rnacentral:misc_RNA from 1 species